rnacentral:lncRNA from 1 species
CUAGUUGUGCCCACCAGGGUCAUAGGCGCCAUUGCGAGUCAUAGUGGGGUUGUGGGCAAGGAUUGCCAAGGUACAACUAGGAGUUGAAUUUGCAGAAGAAGAUUUGCAGAACCCUAAAACGUGGUUUAGCCUUUAACCCACAUUAGACUGUAUCCGUACUUGUGUGAGGUGGAUUGUCAGAGUCUCAUCAUGAGACUCCAGUUGCUGGGCACUUUGGCAUUAUGAAAACAGUGGAAUUGGUCGGUGGCCUCAUCUUUGUCAGUCUAUGGAAGAGUUUAUCCACACCUGCGACAUUUGCGCCUGGUCCGAGUUUCCUCAACACCAUCUGUAUGGUCUUCUUCAACCACUUCCAGCUCCAACUAUGCCCUGGUCUUGCAUCUCAAUGGACUUUGUGACUGAUCUUCCACCAGUUCAAGGAGUUGUUGGUACUCCAAAUCUAAUGUUGAACUAUGAAUUUGCCAGAUCUUCAAAGUUACAUCAUUGGCUGAAAGAGGUACGCAUGUGAACAGAGCAAAAUUCAAUUGACCUCCUUACCUUGGUCUAGCUUGGAAGGAACAACAUAUAUGCCCAGCAAUUUUAGCACAUGGAUUUGCUUAAGGCAACGAUUGGGGACAAUCGUGGCAGCGAACCAAAGUAGCCGCUGAAGCAAGUCACAGUACCUGUCACUGAAGCGAGUUGUACCUGUCAAUCAUAUCCAUGAGUAUAUAGGCCGAAUUAGGUCAACAAACCUUAUGGUCCUGGGCCGCGACUUGGUCCCGAUGGCGGCGACAAUGGAGGUGGGGAGCUGGUUCAAUACCCCUGCUAUGUCCAACAAGGAUAGAGUGUGGAUUCGUGAGUGCUAUAGCGACGUCUACACCGACAUCAGGGAGCUCGCGAGCGUGGGCAAGCGCUACAUCCACAUCUCGGGGGACCCCGGAAUCGGCAAGUCGUGUUUUCUGUGGUACGUUCUCAGGAGGCUCCUCGACGAUGGAGAGACGGCCGUCAUAGUAGAGCUCCUCGUAGGAAUCACCGUGAAUACUUUCGUCUUCAAGCAGGAUGGGAGUUGCGACGCGGAAGAUUCACCGGAUUACAACCGCCCGGGGGUCUGGCUUCUUACUGAUGAGGCAUUUGUUGGGCACAGGGUUUGGAACGGAACCACGGUCUUGUUCGCGUCACCCGAGAAAGAUAAGUGGAUACAAGCAGAAAAGACUAUGCAGGAACGCAAGUUCACGACGCUUUACAUGCCGCCUUGGUCUGUCGACGAGUUGCAGGCCGUCUAUUUUUCAGAUCCCGAGAAUGAAGGCGAAUACAUGGAGUUCUGGGCGAAGUAUUACGUUGCCGGGCCAAUCAUAAGGCACUACGUCACGCCUUUGAUAAAGGUCCUCAGCGAGAAACUCACGGCCGUCGAGAAAGUUGUGGAUGGCGGGGUGCUGAACGCGACAUUAUUGAAGGCACACGAGAUCUUCGUUUCCUGGCCAACUCUCGACUUCACCCGCGUGGACCAUUUCUCCUUUGCUUCGGAGUGGGCAGCGGAUUGUUUUGCAAUCGCAUGCUUCAAUGGUCAGAUCAAGAACUGGAUCGCGUCCACUUUAUUUUUGGCAGCGAACCGUUCAUUGCGGAGUGCAGCUGGAGUUCUGUUCGAACGUGUUGCUCAUUAUCGACUCUCGAUGGGUGGUGACUUUUGUAGCAUUGACGAUCCGACCAGAAAGCUUCAUUUGGAGAAGCAGGAAGUGAAGUAUUUCUCCGGUAACAGUCUUGAUCUGCAAAUACCUGGCCUCUACUACUUACAACCCAGCAGCACGUCAUUCCCUGUGAUAGACUCAGUGUAUCCUCCACUCGUCCUUUUCCAGAUCUCUAUUGCCACGAAGCAGAGACCAAUGAAGAAGUGUGACUACGAUGCCUUGUGCUCUUCUUUGAUGGCAUUCAGAAACGAGCACUCUGAUAUUCCGUCGGGCCUGGAAGGUGUGCCGGAGCCGAACCGAGUGCACGCUAUUCUAGUGAAGAUGGAGGGUGACAAUGCAAAGCAUUCGCAACGCCUGUGCAUGGUGGAAGACGCUCCGGAAGACGCUCCAGCGAAUGAAACGGCUCCUCGCCGGUC